rnacentral:lncRNA from 1 species
CUUCAGCUAAUCAGAGUUUGAAAAAGGACUAAUGCCAUUGGUUAACCCUUAAGUCUGAACUUCUAUCUGGGUUUCUCCCCACUUAUGUUUUAUUGCCACUCACCGGCAAUUGCAGCUUCCUGGGAGGUUGAGUUCAGGGGAUAGUGGGUGCUGGGACAUUCAGAGCUGUGGUGCUGUGUGGAGUGGGCAUCCUCACUGGCCUGGGCCACUGUGGGGUGACAGGUUGGUAUGCCCUGGUUUACCUCAGCCCUGACCUGUAGUGCCUUAGACCUGGGCUGGCAAAGUGGGCUCCUCACAGCCUGAGCUCACACUUGCCACCUGCACUCAAGCCCCUUGGGCUACCACUGUGCUGAUCCACCACUGCUUCUCUGUGGGGACAUGUGGGGUGGUUGCACAGUUUAGUGGUUGGGAGCCAUGUCGAUAGGGUGAGUUUCACAAACAUGAAGGAAGAAAAACACUGCUUAAGUAUAGCAUGUUAAAGGAGAAGAAAAAGAAAACAGUACCUACCAGGGAAGGUCAGCUGAUAUGGGGUUUUACAUGAGUUUACAGAGUUUAGACUUUAUCCUAAAAAAAAAAAAAAAAUCCAGUACCUGUAAUAUCAGACUAUGGUCUCAGAGGCUGAAAUAAGACUGGUAUUUUCUAAAAACUACAGGCAUUCAUUGCAAGCAAAAGUUUUUCCAAUGGGCAGUAAAAUAAGAGAAGCAAGACUCUGACACCAAGGAUACAGGACUCGAUUCCAAAAAAGCACAUGUCUAUGAGUUGUAAGAUUUACAGUGCUCUCCAGCAUUGUGUUAAAGCCUCCACAGCUUUUAAUAUAAAUUCAGCUUGUUUUGAAUUCUGAGACUCUUCCAAUAGAGAUGAGAAUUAAGCAGAUGAGAGUGGCUCAAACAAAAGGAAGCACAGAAGAUGGUACAUUGCCAAAUGCAAUCAUGGAUGAUGAAGGUGUGACUGCAGUUACUGACCUGUGCCGUUGCCAUGGAAACUAACGCUCUGUGGCCUGGCAUAGUUUCCCUUUUAAAGGACAGAUUGGCUUUAGUGGAGAGUUAAGACUACAAAUUAUAGAAGUUGGAUCAUCAAUUGCCACUUGUAGUCUAAAUUCUUCUUAGGGAAACAAUGGCAAUCCAAGGUGAACUCCCCAGAAGUCCUGAGGCUGUCAAAAGCACAAGAUUGAAGCUCAGUGGAGGGCAACAGAGGUUACCUAUUGCCUCAGGCUCAUUUUCUCAACUCUUCUCUAUACUAAUUGU